CGUACGUUCGUCGCGUAUUUUUUCCGUCGGCUCAAUCCAGGCCAUUUAGGCCCGUUUCCGCUUUCAAAUUCUGCCUCCGUACGCGUCUCUAUGAUUCGCCUGCAGCUCUUCACCGUUCAACACUCCUGAUAAUCCAAGGUCCUUUGUUCGACUCGGUGUUCCCUUUCUCUCAGUCGGCUUUUAUUCAGUUUCCGUUGGAAAAUUUACCCGGAACACCGACAACAUUAACCAUAUAUUUCGGUAUAAUUAUUCGCGUUUUAUGCUUUCGGAAACGAAUCUC